rnacentral:rRNA from 1 species
UACGUAGGAUGCGAGCGUUGUCCGGAAUUAUUGGGCGUAAAGCGAACGUAGGCGGCCUGGUAAGUUUGGUCUUAAAAACCGGGGCUCAACCCCGGGAAUGGACCGAAUACUGUCAGGCUGGAGUACGCUAGAGGAUGGUGGAAUUCCAAGUGUAGCGGUGAAAUGCGUAGAUAUUUGGAGGAACACCGGUGGCGAAAGCGACCAUCUGGGGCGUUACUGACGCUGAGGUUCGAAAGCUCGGGGAGCAAACAGG